rnacentral:rRNA from 1 species
GUGAACCGGGAAGAGCUCAAAUUUGAAAUCUGGCGUGCUCAGUGCGUCCGAGUUGUAAUCUAUAGAGUCGUUUUCCGUGCCGGACUGUGUCCAAGUCCCUUGGAACAGGGUAUCAAAGAGGGUGAUAAUCCCGUACUUGACACAAUGACCGGUGCUCUGUGAUACGUCUUCUACGAGUCGAGUUGUUUGGGAAUGCAGCUCAAAAUGGGUGGUGAGUUCCAUCUAAAGCUAAAUAUUGGCGAGAGACCGAUAGCGAACAAGUACCGUGAGGGAAAGAUGAAAAGCACUUUGGAAAGAGAGUUAAACAGUACGUGAAAUUGUUAAAAGGGAAACGAUUGAAGUCAGUCGUGACUGAGAGGCUCAGCCGGUUCUGCCGGUGUAUUCCCCUCAGUCGGGUCAACAUCAGUUUUGUUCGGUGGAUAAGGGCAGUUGGAAGGUGGCACCCUCGGGUGUGUUAUAGCCAGCUGUCGCAUACAUCGGAUGAGACUGAGGAAUGCAGCUCGCCUUUAUGGCCGGGGUUCGCCCACGUUCGAGCUUAGGAUGUUGACAUAAUGGCUUUAAACGACCCGUCU